rnacentral:rRNA from 1 species
UACGUAGGGGGCAAGCGUUGUCCGGGAUUUAUUGGGCGUAAAGAGCGUGUAGGCGGCUAGGUAGGUCCGUUUGUGAAAACUCGAGGCUCAACCUCGAGCUGUCGAUGGAACCAUCUAGCUAGAGUCCGGAAGAGGAGAGUGGAAUUCCUGGUGUAGCGGUGAAAUGCGGCAGAUAUCAGGAAGAACACCCGUGGCGAAGGCGGCUCUCUGGUACGUGACUGACGCUGAGACGCGAAAGCGUGGGGAGCGAACAGG